GGAAGUAAAAGUCUAACAAGGUUUCCGUAGGUGAACCUGCGGAAGGAUCAUUAUUGUAUAACCGAGGUGCGAGGGCUGUCGCUGACCCGAAAGGUCGUGCACGCCCGAGUGCCCUCACACACAUCCAUCUCACCCCUAUGUGCACCACCGCGUGGGUCCCCCUUUGGCUUGUUCGGAGGGGGGCUUACGUUUUCACACAAACUUUGUAUGCAGUGUAGAAUGUAUUUUUUGUUUUUGCGAUCACGCAAUCAAUACAACUUUCAACAACGGAUCUCUUGGCUCUU
rnacentral:misc_RNA from 1 species